rnacentral:rRNA from 1 species
GGGGGAAUAUUGGACAAUGGGCGAAAGCCUGAUCCAGCCAGGCCGCGUGGGUGAAGAAGGUCUUCGGAUGGUAAAGCACUUUAAGGAGGGAGGAAGGGCAGGAAGAGAAGACCUGGCUGGUGGGACGUUACCGACAGAAUAAGCACCGGGUAACUCUGCGCCAGCAGCCGCGGUAAGACAGAGGGUGCAAGCGUUAAUCGGAAUGACUGGGCGUAAAGCGCGCGUAGGUGGUUCGUUAAGUUGAAUGUGAAAGCCCCGGGCUCAACCUGGGAACUGCAUCCAAAACUGGCGAGCUAGAGUAGGGCAGAGGGUGGUGGAAUUUCCUGUGUAGCGGUGAAAUGCGUAGAUAUAGGAAGGAACACCAGUGGCGAAGGCGACCACCUGGGCUCAUACUGACACUGAGGUGCGAAAGCGUGGGGAGCAAACAGG